UGAGCCAAAACCUUGUCAAAUUGCUCAAGAUAUAGUUCAAGUCACAACCACUAGUAAAUCAUGUCACUUACUACCCUUAGAUUGCAUGCACUAACUUCAAAAUCCAAUACAUCCUUCAUUCCAACUUAGAAUCCAGCAAGAAAUAUACAAAAAGUGUAGCCACAAAAGUGCUCUCUCCAAUCAUCAUUGCCGAUGCUCAAUUGCCUUCUGUAUACAUGCAUUAUGUCAAAAAGGGUGACAGUAGCUCUCAAAUCAAUAUCUUAACUUUGAGCAUGUAUAUCUCCUUCAUAUGAACUCCAAAUCAUACAAGAUUUGUUCCAAAACCAUAGAAAAAAACCUAAGCUCUCCAACUCUAGUCUUUAAAAUUUGAAUGGCUCCAAAAAACUAACCCUAAUCUCUAAUAUGGCCUCGGGCAGCCUCCUCGAAGCCCAUUGUUCAUGAUUUUUGACCAAUAGGAAUGGAGAUUUUCAUCAUCCAUCUCCAUUCAUCUAUAUAGAUGCCCUAAACUUUCUUUUUAUUAUCAAAAUCCCUCUUCAACUCUUUUAUUUAUAAGAUUUACUCAAUAUAUGCCCUAAAUAUCAAAUUAAAGAAUCAAAAUAAGACUUAAGGGUCACCAAUGUCUAAUAAAGAUGGCUCUAAAUAUUUAAAUUUACUACCAAAAAAAUCAAUCUCAAAAGCCACUAUCAAAAGAAAAUAAAGUUAUAAAAAUUUUAACAAUAAUCUUUUUAAACAACCUCUUUUUAAAGUAGUAAUUUAACCACUCUACAACCAAUUAAAAUUCAAUAACAUGGCUUUCACCAUGUUGUUCAGUAAAUUAUACAUUAAAUACAUAAUCAUAUUAUUUUCACAUCG
rnacentral:lncRNA from 1 species